ACCUGAAAGCAAUGUUUUGCCUUUUUAUCUCUGCCGCGUGUUUGUUUGUUGUCAUCUUCCCCCGUGCGACUAUUCUCUUUCUAUUUACAGGACGACUCAACUCUAGUGCUCAUUUUAAUCCGGGACUUCAUGACUAAAAGAUCCUCUGAGGCUGAGCAGACUUGCCAACAUGAAGGCCACGACCGCAGCAGGACACAGCAGGAGUGUGUGGACACGUCCGACGCAUAUUGUCGCAGUGUGUGUGUGUAAAAGAGUGCAAACAAGCCUGGAAGAGGAGGUCUGUUAGCUCCAUUACAGCAUGUUUACCUGCUUUAGUUUACACACGAAUGAGCAUCACGUUAGGUGUGUGUGUGUGUGUGUGUGUGUGUGUGUGUGUGUGUGUGGUAGUGAGUUUACGAUUACAGUAAUUUAGCCAAAAGCUGUGUAAACUGUGUAAUUCCUGACAUGAAAUGAAAGUCUUGCAAAGACACAGCUGCGCAAUUUUAAAGGAUAUUUUAACUCUACAGCACAUUUACACAAGUCUAAAGUGAUUUCUUUCACACCUAAAGCGCUUUGGGGCGUCUUCAUACCUUUAGAGAGCUGACAGUCGAAAACAUAACAGAUACCAAAGGGCAACAGAUGCUGAUGCUAAGGUUGGUACUUUAACCUCUGAGCCACGGGGGUGUUUUGUUUUAAUGCAGUCGUCGCUUUUACAGAAUUAAACUGUGAAUAAAGUUAACUUUAUUUAGAGAGGAACAUCUUUUUGGCUAAUUCAGACUAGCGGUUUUGUUACAGGUAAGCCCUCUGAGGCCUGACUCUCCUUUGGGGCACCGCCUUAGUUUUAUCCCACUUCAUUGCUCUCUUAGCCACGACACACACACACACACACACGGACUAGAUACACACACUCCAGAGAACUUCCACACUAAGGCCCCAACGCAAAGUUAUUAAUGAGCUGUUUAAUUUUAAUUAGAUAGUAAUUCAUGUUAAUGCCUGCUUAAUGGAGCCAAAUAAUUCCCCUCGGUCACUCGGGGUCUUUAUGCUUCGUUUACCAGCCCCUGCAGUUAUUCUCUGGCUUUUGUUUUUAUAUUACAUUUCCAUUUUUUCCAAGCAGUGAGUGAAUGAUGAAACAGUAAAAACAGGCAACAUAUGGGUUGAGUGAAGCGUGCGAACGUGCGAGUCUGCGUGCAAAAAGUGUAAGUGUUUGCCAGCGAGAGUGAAAACUAAUAUCCAUACGCUUGUGUCCACAUCACUAUCAUUUUCAUUUAGGUGUUGGUUUCCGCGAAGGCCUGGCUGUGUGUGUCUGAAGCUGAGCGCACACUCCCACUCAGACUCAGAGGAAAGGUCAAAGUCAGUAUUGAACGCUAAGCAGGGUUAAACCCUCAGGUUGAAGUGCAGGUACCAAGACAUUUGUAAAAGAGAGGUCAUGACCUUUUUGUCCAGGCCAGACCUCAAGCUAAAUUGUCCCCCUGACUCUUGUCACGCGUGCUUCCACUGUGCUGCUGCUCACCUAGGGAAGCCUUUAUGUGAAACCCCCCCCACGUAGACCGUAUAAGAGUGACCACUCAGAGGGGUCACCGGCGUUGAGUUCGUCUCGGCCGCGUCUGGGUUCCUCCGCUCUAACGAAGCACUAAGCUGAGUGGUUGGAUUGAGUUAGUGGCCACAGACAGGCUUUUAAUUGCUGAUUGACCAGUCUGAGUGCUUCCUGGGCCGGGGUCAUUGCAGGGAGCGGGCGGGGAGGUCCCCAGGCCCCAGCAGCAAUUUCAGCCCCGCACACGGGCGAGCAGCCGGCGUGUGCGGGGGAGCGCGUGGAGCAGCGGCGCUCAGGACAACGCACGGGAGGACGGAUCAGAGCCCAGGCGCUCGCUCAAGUUGGAUGUGCUUUAAGGGCACAUCUUUUUACAUGAAGUCCGAUCACAGCGUCCGCGGAGCCGCCGUGAUCCGAGCAAACAAACGCGUCGGCGGCAGCGCUGCAGAGGCUGUGAGCCGAGCGAGCGUUAAGGUCCACAGAUUAGCAAGUUCAAUGUUUACCCCUCCACAAAAUCUCGCCUCCUUCAUCUGUUUGACAAUUACAAAUUUACUCUGUGCCCGUUCCAUCCACCUCCCUCCCCCUUUAUCCUCCCGCUCCUCUCUCCCCCCUCCUUUCAGCCGCCGCUCCUCUAAUUCUACACGGGGCCACAAAAGCCCAUUCUGCUGUUUUAGCGGGUUAGCUCUCCUCUCCUCUCGUCCCCUGUUCUCCUCCUCUCCUCCUCCUCCGCUCAGCUCACAGCAGGUGCCGGUCCUCGGCUAACAUUUGUUAUCUCUAAUCCUGCAGGUUCGGCACACAAAAAGAGCGUAGUAAACUCUCUCUCAGACCUAAUCCCACCACUCCUUUUUUGAUGGCGCUCCCCCUCGCCCUCCUCUCCUCUUUUCUCCCUUCACUAUCUCUCUUUUAGGCUGCUGGGGGGACACUCCACUUCUCUGAUUGCCACAUAGCUUUUUAUCACCAUGGUCUUCAAUUUGGGGGGCAGCUGUUGGUGGUGGGGGUCUCCCCCCUCCCCGUUCUUUAUACCUCCUAUUCCAACUUUCUCUUCCUUUUCUCUCUCCCUCUGUCUCCCCUUUUUGCCUCCUUCUCCCGCUCUCUCUGUAUCAUUUACAGUCAUUUUCUGGCAAUUAAAAUGGAGCGCUGCUGCAGGAUUUUCGCCUGCAGUGCAACACUACAGUGCUGAUGAAUAAUUCUUCACCCUGCAAACUGGAAAGCUAGCCUUUCUUUCAUGUCGGCCCUUUGUUGAUUUACCAUUAAAACUUAGUGCACCAUGCUAUGAGUGCAGGGCCUGGCUCUGCAGGAGCUGGCAAAAAGGAAAAAUUAGGAUGAAGCAGAUAUGUGUACACACGCUUUAGGGUCAUUUUUUCUAGCAUGGAGCGAGGAGGCUCCUGAGUUACAUAUGUGAGUCAUAUUUGUGUUUAUGGUUAAGAUUUAUAGAGCACGAGCUUCUUUAUUUAUGUCUACUGUCUUAUUCUGCACCACUUAAGUUUUAUGCUUUUUUUUAUCAACUCUUUUAUUACGGGGCUUAGCUGCAUUGUGUGAGUGAUUAGAUGGUCAUUUAUUAUUCUUGUGCACGCACACAUGCACAGACAGACACACACACACUAUCUCACGUGUUCUCAAUCACACCGCAGUGACAGAUGUGUGUGGACAGAGGUGCUCGGUCUGCAGAGUUAGCGGUACGUUAAAUGUGGGUGUGGGUCUCCAGACCAGCCCGGCUCUGGAGCAGACGCAGGAAGGGUUUGAGUUUAUGAUCCGGGUGGAGGAUAGUUUAAAAAAAAAAGCAACAAUAUAAAUAAAGUAGACAAUAGGAAACACAGGACAAUGCAGACAAUAAUCCAACACAUACAAAUACAUCUGACACAUCCUUUAUGUCACAGACAUAUACAGUAGUUGUAGGUAGGUGUAAAAUUCAAACAAAAACUAAAUAUUCUAAUAAUAUUUUUAAAAACAGACUUUUAGAAGUACAGAAAAUAUUAGUUUGUAGUAACGGAUGCAUGUAUUUUUCCAGAAUGUUAAAUUGCAUCCUUGUUACACUGUAUAUUAUAUUAAGUUACAUUUACGUUAGUGUACAUAUGAUAAAUAAGGAGUUAUACAAUAUUCACGUUACAUCAUUCAGAAAUGUGCUUUUUUUUUAAAGGAUACAAAAUAACUUAUUGACUAUCAAAGUAACUGCCAAUUAAUUUUGAAUCUGUGACUGAUUAAUUGACUGCUCAUCGCAGCUGUAAUCACACACAGGGUAGAACGCAGGGCUGUUUUAAUGGUAAUUAAACAAGUGUUUAUUGUGCGAAGUCUUUGAACUAACAAAUUAAAUGAUUGCACAGAACGGCAAGAAAGGAGCGAGUGAGCGAGUGACUCAAGUGAGUCUGCGCCUAAAACGAGACAGGAAAACUUUAGCCUCCUCACUCAAACACUUUGUUUUAGGACUUCUCUAGACUGCGUGUUUUAGGAUCUCUUCUUUCUUCAAAUUUAUGUCAUUUAAGACACAGGAAGUUUAAGGAGGCACCUUCUCACGACGUCAUCUGGCUCAGUAGUUGCCUCCCAGUGAGUUACUGUAUAUGGGCAAAUAUGAACACGCGCUGGUUCAGAUCCACUGACAGGCACACACAUGAGCAAGCAAACACUGGCUCACAUACACCCAUGUGUGCACACACACAGCCAGUAAACAAACAAACACUAUUCUUCACACUGUCACACUCACAUGGACACAGUCACACACUGAAGAGAUAAUGGUGGCCAGAGGCAGUCGUAGUCCUCUCUCCCUCUGUUGUCUCUCUCUCUCUCUCCCCCUCACUCUCCCUGUCUCUGAGGCAGAAAGCGCGCUCUGGUCCUCACUGUCUGUUAGAUUUGAUCACCAUCACCGAGCCGCAACGGACAGUGCACAGCUCAGCUGACGGCUCAUCGGUGUGCGCACACGCAUGCACAUACGCAUACGCACACGCACACACACACACACACACACACACACACACACACACACACAGACAACUACUGUGCCAGAGGAUAUUACAUGCAGUGUCUGACACCUCUAAAUAAGUGUUUACUCUGUGUGUGUGUGUGUGUGUGUGUGUGUGUGUGUGUGUGUGUGUGUGUGUGUGUGUGUGUGUGUGUGUGUGUGUGUGUGUGUGUGUGUGUGUGUGAUCCGUGCGCGUAUUUGCCUUUGCAUCUUAUUUUCCCGUGUGGCUGCCUCUCCAUCCAUAACUCUGUGUGUGCGUCUACAUGCUCAUGUCUGGCAACAACAGACCUAUGAAAUGUAUCCAAAAUGAUCAUCACCCAUGCUCCGCUUCCACAUGGCUGUCUCCGUCAUUACCACAGACAGCAUGUAAUUCCUUGAAGUACAACUGCUUAUUUGAAUUGACACUGUUCUCAUGCUAUGUAGAAGCAAGUGAAGAACAAUUAUCCUGUGUAAGAUGAAGCAAAAAUAAACAAAAUAAAAAUGUAAACAAAUUU